UUAAAUAGUGUGUUGUCAUUAAUGUGGGUGGGUAAAGUGCCUCACGAGGUGGGUCUCCUGCAAGGAGAGGCGCGAGAGGCAGCGCCCAACGCCACAAAUAGAGAAAAAGAGCAUAUCAUACAUAAUUAGCGACGGAGAUUAGCCAUGAGCUGCUUACUCCGUUCUACCCGCCGCGUCAACUCCUCACUAGACCUCGCAACCCGGUGCAGCCACAUGACCGCAUCCCCUAGCGUUCUAAGCGUCCCGACCUUCCCAGCCUUCGGUAACCACCUGCGCACCCCCUUGC
rnacentral:lncRNA from 1 species